rnacentral:rRNA from 1 species
ACGCACGCUGGCGGCGUGCUUAACACCUGCAAGUCGAACGGAAAGGCCUUUUCGGAGGUACUCGAGUGGCGAACGGGUGAGUAACACGUGGGUGAUCUGCCCUGCACUCUGGGAUAAGCCUGGGAAACUGGGUCUAAUACCGGAUAGGACCGCACUUUAGUGUGUGUGGUGGAAAGUUUUUUCGGUGUAGGAUGAGCCCGCGGCCUAUCAGCUUGUUGGUGGGGUAAUGGCCUACCAAGGCGGCGACGGGUAGCCGGACUGAGAGGUUGGUCGGCCACAUUGGGACUGAGAUACGGCCCAGACUCCUACGGGAGGCAGCAGUGGGGAAUAUUGCACAAUGGGCGCAAGCCUGAUGCAGCGACGCCGCGUGGGGGAUGACGGCCUUCGGGUUGUAAACUCCUUUCGCCAGGGACGAAGCGUUUUGUGACGGUACCUGGAGAAGAAGCACCGGCUAACUACGUG